rfam:Alistipes sp. CAG:268 genomic scaffold, scf20
AAGAUACAAGAGGGGUGCCUUUCCGACUGCGAGAAACGGCUGAGAUCAUACCCUAUGAACUUGAUGCGGUCAAUACCGCCGAAAGGACUUGUUCAUAGACCGUA